AAGUGUGGCCUCAUGUGAACUGGGACAUUUCGCAACCCUGGAGGAAAGACCGAGACCGAGAGCGAGGAGCCGACUGCCGAGGCCGCGAGGACAAGUCCGACAAGAUGGCGAGGAGACACGCGGAGGUUCAGAGGAAUCUCAACACAACAAUGCCAAUCAUCAAAUACAGACAAGAAAUGACUAUUCACUGUGACCUUACCAUGUCCAACAGAACUCCCUGGACUGUAACCUCAAUUUGAGCUGCACUAUGGCCCUAGAGGAGGAGGAGGAGAUUGAAAACUGAGGUCACACAUGCUUGCUUUCUUAUGGAGGAUUGAUGCAGGAGAGUGAAGAAAGUGUAAGGAAGUUUAGGUCACCACACUCCUGCAAUGACAACUGAUUCCCACUGCAGCCCACCACCCACUUCCAGCCUGGGGAGUGAGGAAGGAUCAGGUGAUCAGUACCAAGUAGUGGUUAACAAGCCAGCUGGAGUUGGUACUUUACUAGAAAAGAGAUGGAGUGGUAGGUGAAUGCUGCCUUGACUGAUCUGGGCUUGUGUCAUCACAGAAGAGGAGGAACCCAGCUGUCUACAAGAAUAAGUGGAAGAAGAGGAGGAACCCAGCUAUCUAAGUGGAAUCUGACAAGAGAAGUAGGUGACCUUUGUCAUCACAGCUGUGGAAGAUGGAGCUGUAGAUUAACUGAACCACACACACGUCAACCCUUUGUCCAUGCCUGAACCUGUCUUGGUCCAGGAAGCUGUUGCCCUUCUUCAGAGUGAGCCAGCCAGUCCAUCUUUAUCUUUAUCAUCAUCUUCAGUAGUUUCUUGCAGAUCCCUGGUUUGUAUCUCUUCUGACUAUCUUAUGCUGUACUCCUUGACUAAUAGCCACACUUGCCCUCAGCUGCCUGGACUGCUUCUACCAACUC
rnacentral:lncRNA from 1 species